rnacentral:lncRNA from 1 species
AGCUUAGCUCUUGACGAGGAGCCUUGAGUGCGACAUAAGAGGGAAUAGAUAUAUUCAGGUCGAGUUGUCUAGGAAUAAUAUUCUCCACUUGUUUUUUUAUUUCUCUUUUCUAAACGCUGGUGAUUACUUUCUAUUUCAUGUUAGUAUGUAAGUACACAUGAUUUCUGGGUUAAAUGUUAUUUUAUUCAAUCUUAUUUUAACUGUUUAAUCUUUGGGUUUGAAUGUUUUUAGCACGGAAGUGUUAUUGUGGUCACUGACACUGGAAGGUGCAAUGACAGUUCAAGCUAACACGCAUG